GGAAAGCUCCGCUCCCCCGGGCGUGAAUCCGCGAUCCGGGGUUUUGGCCCUGCCGGGAGUUCUGUUUAUAAACACACCGCGCGGCCACCGGCAAGGGGUAACCCUAAAGGCUCACAGUUGCAUUGCCACUGCUGGUUGCUCUGCCAAGUUAGUGUUUCUCAGAAGUUUACCCACUUCCGUGGGUAAUACCUAGUACGUACCAGACGUUGCCACAGGUCCUAAGGAAGGUGGGCCACACCUAGGACCCCAUGACAACUGGAGACAGACUCUCCCGCUGGCCUCUCAAGAGCAAACAGCCCCAGAGAGGGACGCUUGGCAGGGGACCAUGGAGCUUCUUGGACCUGAGGGCAGCAAGCAGCCCAGAAGAAGCUGGGCCAGCACCUCAAUCGUGGCCACGUGGGACCCUUAGCAGAGGACCAGUUGAGCCGUAUACCCGGACUCCUGCCCCACGGACACCGAGGUUGGAAAUGUGUGGGCAGUGGCAGAGGAUGAGCCGUGUGCAGCCUGGGACGAUGCAACCAUCGGGCUUCCGGCGUCAUCAUCAACCGAGGAAGCUGGAGCCCUGGGUCAAGCCACACCGAAAUUCCACCUGCACCCAGAUCCCAGCAGCCGAGCUGACUAAGACACUCCCCGCAUCAACCAUGCUCUACCUCCUCUGAAAACAUGCCGUGAAACACUUCCGUGCUACAGGGAGGUCGCCGUCAGCCGUGUCGUCGUUUCCUCUCUGUGUUGCGCCUGCGAACGUGGUCAGGGCCGGGCACAGUCUCCACAGAUGCUGCCAGGUGCCCGGCUUGAGUUUGCAAGGAUGCUCCCGUCCUAACGGGGGCCUGGCAGUUGUCAAAUGAAUGAAGGGAAGGGGCCUGGGGCCUGAGGAAAGGAAACUUCCACAGGAGAACCUUCUAAUCCCCCUGUUCCACCGCGGGGACAAAUGCAGCCCCAGGAAGCAUCCAGCCACGUGCCCCCCGCAGGGACGAUGGUUUCCAGGCCUGGGCAGGCCAGGCUGCUUUCCUUCCUGUUUAACCCUCCCCGUCACUCCCCACCCCGUGCCUGGUCACCUUCCGCUUGCGUCCCAAGCCCGCCUUGCUUUUGUGUGGUCACAGGAGCCCCCUUCAGCCUGCCCACAGCUUAGCCGAGCCUGGCCCAGCGCCGGGUCCCUGUCCCCAGGCCUGGAGGCCAGACCGCGAUGCCGCCUCCGCCGAGGAGCCCUCCUUGCACCCUGCCCCAGGGAAUCGGCAUGUCCGUCUCCAGCCCUGCCUCCUGUCUGCUGGAUUUCACAGGAGAAACCGGGUCUCCAGGCCCCAGCGGGCCCUAGCGCUUGGCGAGGCCCAGCCGCCGCCCCCUGGGCCCACCCGAAGCGCAAGGCCGCACCCCCGGGCUGCUGCAGCCCAGCGAACAAAGGCCCCGCGGCCUUGGAGCUCUCGCUGUGGCCUAUCGAAACCUCGAGGUGGUUCCCUAUUAACCACUCCCUUUGGUGCCUCCGAGGCCAAAAAAGGAGUCGAACAAAACCUCUUUUCUAAGCAGGAAGAGCUUUGUAGAGAGAGAGAGAGCUGAGCAGAGAGGGUCCCCAGCCCCUCUCACCGGCGAAACGCUCACCAGACGCCUGCCGGGGCCUCCCGCACCCGCACACACGAACAGGAGCCGCCUGGAGAGGGGUCUGGACCUCAGCCGGUUGCGCCUGUGCCCCCAAAAGGCUGUGCAGGGAUGGCCAGCGAGGGGUCUCACCUGCACGCAGCCCCUGCCUUGUUUUAUUUUAGAAACCAACAAGACCCAAUAAAAUGGUAUUUUUUAAAAGUGGACACAUACUAGGAGGAUGGGAGAGAUGAAACAAAAAUCCCACCUGCUUUCUUUCUCCGACAUAACCUUGAACCUCAACCCCUUUGUCUGUUUUUUUCCCAUGUUGUUGUCCUGCCUUAACCAAUAAGUGAUACUGCAUUAUUCGUUCAUCUAUAAAUAGGAAGUUUGGCUGCUCUUUUUUAACAGAAGGCCCAGGCCGGAGCACUAGGCAGUCAUUUCCCCAGCGAGCCCUCAUCCCCCCAGGGACCAAGGGGAAUGUGAUCUCUGGUCCCGUGUCUGGGUCUGAAUUGUCCUGUUACAGAGAGAAAUGGCCUUUUUAUCCAGGUGCUGGGGCCCCUUAUCAGGCAGGAGGAGCAACAGUCCGAGACGUUUAUGCCUCUGAGUGCAGGCAAGCUCUUUGUCGUUAAAAUUUAAUUUGAAGGGAAAAAAGGAAAGAAAAAAAGCUGGCUCAAAGAGCAUCGGCAUGUCAUCCAUUUAGAUUUGAGGGCAGAAGUCCAUCCAGAAGCAACGCAGAGCAUGAGCUUGGAAAAUCAGAUGAAUAAAGAGACAGCAGUUUAUUGAAAAAGCAUCAUCCUUGGCCUCGCAAGGCAGGGGUGUGACUCACGGUACAGAUUUCGGCCUGCCCGGGAUACGGCCUCCCUCUGGCAUGCCGGUCUCACCUUGAACACGGCCUUGGGCUCUGAGCACAGAAGCCUCCCACUAGCAAUGUUCGUCCAGUCCUGAGCCCUUGCUGAGUUCUGGGUUCCGUGGAGCGGGUAUUAUUUUCCUGUUUUACAGGUGAGAACACCAGGGCUCCCAGGGGACAUGCAGCUGGCCCAGUCUAGUCACGAGAACAGGCCGCUUAGCGUAAACCUAGGAUUUAAACCCAGGUCUGUCUUGCUCCGGAGUCCAUGCUCCUUCCCCUGAACUUGGCCUCUUGAAUAAUUUAUGAGAACACACUUUGGGGCCGGGGGAGGGUGGUUCUCACGUGCUGCCGCCCAGGAGACCAGGGGAGCACAGUCUCACAUGACACCACCAAUGCACUGCUCCAACCCAAGAGGGCUAGCAGUGCUCUUGUCACAAAGAAAAACCUGAGAGGCAGAUUCUGCAACUGGAUUUGCGAUCGGUGACGCCUGCUCGUUCCUCAGAGGUUAACGGAGUUAAACGGCUGGAAUGUGUAUGGUCUUGCCUGGCAUGCGCUGUAAUCACAUAGCGGGGGAAAUUGCUAGCAUGGCAGUGAAAAAGUACUUCUGGAGCUUCGCUAUUGUGAGGGUUUUUUUUUUUUUUAAUUAAAUAAAAUGACCCUCUAACAGGAAAGAUGAUUAUAAUAAUAGCUCUACAGAGCUUCCGAAGGAGCCAGCACACCAGUGAAGGUAGGAAAUUUAAGGAACAGCUGAAGGCCCACUCACUGUGAUUCCAGGAAGUGCUGAGGCCCUUGAUGGCUGACCUUAAAAAAAAAAAAAAUGCCACUAAUAAUUGGAAAGUUUUGUGUACUGGCUUUAUGGUUUGCAGCACAAAGCAAUGCACGGGGUGCCACCAAAAAAUUCAGAGACCUCCCUCCCACCCCAUCCCCAGCACAGGUUUUUAUUUUUCCCAAACUGGAGAUUGGAAAGAUGCCACACCUUUGACCUAACGUCAGAACUCAGCACAGGAGAACAGUGAGGGAGUCCUGGCGCUUAGGUUCUCAGCUCACCUCCUUUCCCCUGUGCGGUCCUUCCAAAGCACCAAUUUAUAGUGUUUUGCAAAGAGUAAUUGAUCAAUGCCUGUGCUAUGCAGUUACUUAACAUGAUGUCCACUAGGGAUUUUUAAUAACAUGGGGAAACACUGUAUAAAGUGAAGUGGAAAAAGCAAGAUAGGAAACUGAGCAUGUGUGUGUUGGGAAGAAAAUGCACCCAACUUUUUUUUUUUUUUUUUGCACCCAGCUCUUCUGAAAAGCCGUCAGUGGUGAAGUCAUGCCUGUGAUUAGUUUCUUUUUGAUACAUAUUUUCCUAAUUUUCUGCAGUGACCAUAUGUUGCAUCGUGGCCUGUAGUUUUUUUCAAUGAAGUUUAACAGAAACUGGGAAAACUUUCUCCUAUAUUCUUUUUCUCCCAUAUGCUUCCUUUUUCUGGUGAUUGAGUUUUGUGGUCCAUUUA